GGGGGAGACAAUAAGGAGGGGGAAUCUGAAGAAUUAUUUAUUUGCACUUUUUAAUGUGCGGUAAACUGAAAGGCCCUAUGUACAGUAGAAGGGGUGAACAUGCGUCCCUGAUUCUUAUCCCCUACUCCCAGACUAAUAUUUGGUUAAAGAAAUUUUUCGAACAUAACUAUUCUUAUCCUACAAGACCUUUUGCUAAUUCUG
rnacentral:lncRNA from 1 species